UUGACCUCGGAUCAGGUGGGGAUACCCGCUGAACUUAA
rnacentral:rRNA from 2 species